UGGGGAAUAUUGCACAAUGGGGGAAACCCUGAUGCAGCGACGCCGCGUGAGCGAAGAAGGUUUUCGAAUCGUAAAGCUCUGUCCUAUGAGAAGAUAAUGACGGUAUCAUAGGAGGAAGCCCCGGCUAAAUACGUGCCAGCAGCCGCGGUAAUACGUAUGGGGCGAGCGUUGUCCGGAAUUAUUGGGCGUAAAGGGUACGUAGGCGGUCUAUUAAGUCAGGUGUGAAAGCGUGAGGCUUAACCUCAUUAAGCACUUGAAACUGAUAGACUUGAGUGAAGGAGAGGAAAGUGGAAUUCCUAGUGUAGCGGUGAAAUGCGUAGAUAUUAGGAGGAAUACCGGUGGCGAAGGCGACUUUCUGGACUUUUACUGACGCUCAGGUAUGAAAGCGUGGGGAGCAAACAGG
rnacentral:rRNA from 1 species